UGGGGAAUAUUGCACAAUGGGCGCAAGCCUGAUGCAGCCAUGCCGCGUGUAUGAAGAAGGCCUUCGGGUUGUAAAGUACUUUCAGCGAGGAGGAAGGCGUUGUGGUUAAUAACCGCAGCGAUUGACGUUACUCGCAGAAGAAGCACCGGCUAACUCCGUGCCAGCAGCCGCGGUAAUACGGAGGGUGCAAGCGUUAAUCGGAAUUACUGGGUGUAAAGCGCACGCAGGCGGUCUGUCAAGUCGGAUGUGAAAUCCCCGGGCUCAACCUGGGAACUGCAUCCGAAACUGGCAGGCUAGAGUCUUGUAGAGGGGGGUAGAAUUCCAGGUGUAGCGGUGAAAUGCGUAGAGAUCUGGAGGAAUACCGGUGGCGGAGGCGGCCCCCUGGACAAAGACUGACGCUCAGGUGCGAAAGCGUGGGGAGCAAACA
rnacentral:rRNA from 1 species